GGCGUCGAGCGGCGAACGGGUGAGUAACGCGUAGGAAUCUGCCUGAUAGUGGGGGAUAGCCCGGGGAAACUCGGAUUAAUACCGCAUACGCCCUACGGGGGAAAGGCCGGGAUCUUCGGACCGGUCGCUAUUGGAUGAGCCUGCGUUGGAUUAGCUAGUUGGUAGGGUAAAGGCCUACCAAGGCGACGAUCCAUAGCUGGUCUGAGAGGAUGAUCAGCCACACUGGGACUGAGAUACGGCCCAGACUCC
rnacentral:rRNA from 1 species